rnacentral:rRNA from 1 species
UUUACACAUGCAAGUCGAACGGCAGCACGGACUUCGGUCUGGUGGCGAGUGGCGAACGGGUGAGUAAUAUAUCGGAACGUAUCCAAUAAUGGGGGAUAACUAAUCGAAAGGUUGGCUAAUACCGCAUACGCCCUACGGGGGAAAGCUAGGGAUCUUCGGACCUGGCGUUAAUGGAGCGGCUGAUAUCUGAUUAGCUAGUAGGUGAGGUAAAGGCUCACCUAGGCGACGAUCAGUAGCUGGUCUGAGAGGACGACCAGCCACACUGGAACUGAGACACGGUCCAGACUCCUACGGGAGGCAGCAGUGGGGAAUUUUGGACAAUGGGCGAAAGCCUGAUCCAGCCAUUCCGCGUGAGUGAAGAAGGCCUUCGGGUUGUAAAGCUCUUUCGCAAGGGAAGAAAACUUAGGCGCUAAUAUCGCCUGAGGUUGACGGUACCUUGAUAAGAAGCACCGGCUAACUACGUGCCAGCAGCCGCGGUAAUACGUAGGGUGCGAGCGUUAAUCGGAAUUACUAGGCGUAAAGCGUGCGCAGGCGGUUUUGUAAGUCAGAUGUGAAAUCCCCGAGCUCAACUUGGGAACUGCGUUUGAAACUAUAAGACUAGAAUAUGUCAGAGGGGGGUAGAAUUCCACGUGUAGCAGUGAAAUGCGUAGAGAUGUGGAGGAAUACCAAUGGCGAAGGCAGCCCCCUGGGAUAAUAUUGACGCUCAUGCACGAAAGCGUGGGGAGCAAACAGGAUUAGAUACCCUGGUAGUCCACGCCCUAAACGAUGUCUACUAGU